GUUUCCCCGUGUCUUCUUCUCUUUUCUCCCCCGAACGACCGCUAGCUCUCUUUUGCCCAAUUGACUGAAAUUUUACACUGAGAGAGAGAGAGAGAGAGAGAGCGAAGAUCCUAACCCAAGUGAAUUCGCGUCUGAUUAUCUGAGCACAAGGUGAUUGAGCUUCCUGGAAGAAAGACAAAAGGGGGAGGAGUUUAGAGAGAAGUACAGGAAGGAACAUUCCAGCAACAAAUCGGUCACCACUGUAGUAAAUUUUUUACAUGACCUUUGAAAACACAUUGUCUAAAUAUUUUUAACUUAUUUUUCAAUAAUCAUCUUUAGAUAUCUAGGUAAAAGAACUUAAUAAACUCUGCUAGGGAUCCAGGUGUUGCAUUUUACUAUAGUAAACUUAUGCCAAACGCUAUACUGUUUAGUUGGUAUUUUAUGGAUGGAAAUUUGCUAGCAUGCUGAUCUUUUUUUAGCUGUUUUCAGUUUGGAUUCUUCUUUGUUUUCUCAUUCCGUAUUUUUGAAACACCAAUUAUUACUGCAACUAAAAGACCCGCAGCAUCGUGCACCCCUUUCUACCUAGUUCAUAACUAAAGGAAGCCAAAUUUUCUUGCGAAAUUAUGUACUGUUCCACUGAGCUUCUCUCUUUCACAAAGCCUUUUAUAUUCUAAGUUUCAUCAUGUCAUCAUGUCAACUGUAAAGGAGAACUUGGGAAACUAAAUUUGUAUAAACAUAUAUCACAUAGCUCCUAGUAGACCUUCGUGGGUCGUUUAUAACCAGUGUUAUAUAUGUAUCUAUAUAUCCAUAUGACCAUAUGUAGAUGUAUAAGGGUGAUGCAAAGUAUAUAUAUGUAUGAGUUUUGAUGGAUUUGUUGGAUACACUGGCAUUCGAAAAGGUAAUGCGCCUAUAAAUCAGUGAACAACCAUCACUUUUUAUUAUACACACUCAACCACAGCAGCAUCUUCUACGCUUGUUUCCAACUCUCUGUCAACACCAAGCAAGCAAUCAAUGGACUGUCAAAACGUUAUGGUAACAACCAACUACCUCCUCUGAUUCUCUGUUCAUAGUUCUCUAAAGUCCAAAUCCCGAUUGUUUUUUUUUUUUUGGGUUCUCAACUAAUUCAAUUCCUAGUAUUCGUUCUCUGUCUGAUUGAGCUUAUAUAAAUUGUCAAACUGUAAUUUGCUGCAUUGCUUCAACAUCAAAUUUAGAGUAAUGGCACGGGGAUUGGCACCUGCAUUGUGUUAAGUUGAUUACUUUUCUGUGUUUUUGGGAUUUCGGGUUGCCUAGGCUCAAGUGGGAGGUGGAGGAAUGAGAAAGAGUUCAACCCUUCUUUGUGCUCCGAUCAUGGCUAAAUCGGUGGCCAAUAUGGUGGUUGAUAUCGGCAGGGCUAAAGCCGUUGGUGCUGACCUUGUGGAGAUUAGAUUGGUCCAUUUGAAGGUCUUCAAUUCCAAUGAAGAGAAGAAUCCCCUUUGCUCACUCUUUUCACUUAUUAGGUACUACUACUUCGCGAGGAAUAUGUUAUGUGAUUGAGCUUGAUUUGUUGUGCUUCAAGUUGGUUGUACAGUGUGUUGGCUGUACUAGUGUGAGAGCAUAUAAGAUUUCAGUUAGCUCGAUUGGUUGCACUUAGUUUUGGACCAAGACCAAAGAAUUUUUGAAGUAUAAUUGAAAUUGAAGCAAAAUAGGUUUAAUUGAAUCAAAGCAAACACUGGUCAGUAAUAGCGUUUCAUGCUUGAUUAGUAUCCAAAUGUAGAAUUUUUAGUAGCUUCCGGCUUGGAUAAAAGUGUGAUUGGCCUAGGAAUGGUGGUUAAAAAUGCCUAUUGAAGCCGAUCCACCUGACAUUGCCAUAUAGAGAUUUAACUGUUGGGAGAAAGGUUCAGUUUUGCAAUAUACAUAAGAAACUUCACCUUGAAUUUAUCAAAAACUGGUUGUGGUUUUCAGACUUGUAGUCAGUUGAGUUAUGUCGAGUUGUAGUUGCCCUUCUAGGGUCAUAAGCUCAAAAUCUUGUGGGCUUUGUAUUUAUAUUCUUCAGAUUUCUUGGCAAAGAUAGAGCUGAUGGUUCAUAACUUUAUUUUCCGCCACAUGAGAAUAAAUAUGAGGCAUAAUCACUUUACGUUCAAUCAAUGUGGAACCAAUGUGCAUGCGUUAGUGACGAUUUUGGGUUACCAGUCUUAGUUGCUGGUUAACAAUGCACUUAUUGAUGUGUUUGGGAAAUGUUUGGACCCGUGUAGUGUUUGAGGACAUGAAACUUAUGAAUUUACUUGGGGUUCGUCGUUAUUUACUUAUUUGCAUACACAUACUCCAGUCAGUUUGAUGCCGCGUGUGAAGUGUUCUACGUCGUGCCUAGAAGGGAGGAUAUUUGUUGAAAGUUAAUGCACAUUGAUCAUCUAAGAUAAUCUACAUCAAUCUAGAGAGAAAUCAAGAGCAAUCAUGAUCUAUAAUGAUCAUUUAGCUAGUGCAAGAAGUUUCUACACUCAUCAUGUAAAUGUAGGAAGACUCUAGAGCUAUCAUAUAAGAAUGGUAAGGUUCUAGCUUUAAUCAUGGAAGUGUAAUUAAGGUCUAGAAUAUCUAAUAAGUUUAGGAAGAUCUAGAAUGAUCCAUCAAUGUCUAUAAAUACGUGAUUCAAAAUCAUAUCCUCCUAUCAUCUUUGUCCUAUAAACAUCUUCUCCCAACUUCUAGCUCCCAAAUACAUUGUCCUAAACACAGUCUUAGCCCAUCACAACCAUAAGCUUUCGCACCCAAAUUACGACAGUGGUAUCAAAGCCACAAAUUCUAACAAUAUUGCAUGGAAUAUUAUGAUUGUGGGUUGUGCACUUUGUUUGGGUUUGUUGAAAGAGAUGAAAGACAGUUUGUGCCUGCCAGAUCAGUGGACUUUCAGUGCACUCAUAAAAGCUUGCGGUGAAGCAUUAGAAUUUCGGCGUGGUUGCGUGCUUUUAUCAUCAAAAAUGUGGUUGGAGAUCUUCUGUGUUGGUGAAGAACUCCUUUUAAGUAUUUAUGCUGAAUUAGGUUGCCUGGUGAAUGCAGUAAAUGUGUUCAAGUCUGGUUGAACUCUAACACAGGUGUCCUGGAAUGCGAUGAUUGAUACCUACAUGAAACUGGGAAAUACCCUUGAAGCACUUCAUGUAUUUCAACUAUCCCUUGAACAGAAUAUUGUCUCAUGGACAUCUAUGAUCUCAAGGAAAUGGACAUGGGAAAGAAGCAGCUAUCUUCUUUGUUGAUAUGUUGCCAACUGACCUACAGUAAGACGAUUUCAGUUUUGCAGCUGUUCUUCCUGCAUGUUCAAACUUGGCUUACUUGGACGCGGUGAUAUGUUUCAUGGUUGCAUAAUUCUCUAUGGUUUCCAUUCAUAUGCCUUUAUUGGGAAUGGCUUGGUUAACAUGUAUGCUAAAUGCAGAGAAUUGAAAGGGUCCAUCUGUGCAUUCUGUGAUAUAUUGCACAAGGAUUGGUAUCUUGGAAUGCGAUGGUUGAUUGCUUUUGGAUUGCAUGGAAAAGCUAUCCAAUUUCUACAAGUUUUUGAACAAAUGGUGGUGAAUCAGGUUAAACCAGAUAAUGUUACCUUCAUCUUCUUGUUGAUGGCUUGCAUCCAUUCUGGAUUAAUAAGGGAAAGUCCCAUACUUUUUGAAACAAUGCAAACAAUUUAUGGUCUCUCUCCUGAGAAAGAUCAUGUAGCAUGCAUGGUGGAUAUGCUUGCUAGAGUUGGAUACUUAGCUGAAGCAAGGGAGCGGGCUGAUUGUUCAGUAUAUGCUAAGACCAGCUUGCGUGAAGCUCUGCUUGGAACAUGUUCUGCACAUGGGAAGUUGGGAUUUGGAAAAUAGAUGCAUGGGGGAAACUCUGAAAACCACAGAACAACAUAAGGAGACAAGCUAUGUGUUAUUGUCAAAUUUUUAUUGUGCAACUAAGCAAUGGAAGGAAGCUGAAAUGGUUAGGAUGAGAAUGGCAAAUCAAGGUGUGAAGAAAUGCCUGGUUGUAGUUGGUUUGAUGUGAGAAACAAGGUAACAGCUUUUGUAGCGGGAAAGCAUUCUGGUGAUCUGGUCCAUUUAUUGACGAGGUGUACAAUGUACUACAGUACAUUGAUUUUGAAAUGAGGAAUCUAUACUUUGUUGAUAUUAAUAGUGGAAGGCACUGAUAUGUGUUGACUGUUAAUGAGACACACAUUCCAUGUAUAAUUUGAAGAAAUAGAUAAAAUAGUACAGUUGUAAUGGAUGCA